CAGUGGUGUAACGAUAUACGACAGAGACGAAAUUUGUAUUAAAGUGAUUUCGGUGAAGUUGAGUUCAUAUAUAAUCGUAAAAAAUUUAUAAAACAAUUACAAGAAAUACUGUGCUAAUGAGAAAUUAUUGAAGAUGUUCAAAUGGCAACGUUGAUUUCGCUAAUGAUUUAUCAAACUCGUCAAACGAAGACUUCUGAUACGAAAUCGAGUCAACGAUAAGACAACACUGAUAGAUACUUCUUCGAUCGUAUGAUGCAAUCGUCAAUGUCACGCGAAGGUAUCUCCCACUUCUACGCUCACGGCUGCGCAGUGGCGAUUCUCGUGGUGACUACGAGCUGCGUGCAUUCACUUAACAAUUUCUUCGGCUCUGCGCAACGUGUGACUACCACGCGGUGAUCCUUCAUAUUAAUCAAUAUCUGUAUCUAAUAAUUUUAUUUAUGCGGAUUUUUCAAGAUUUGACCACCUGAUCUGUAAAAAAUGUAUAAUUCGAAGUAUCCAAAUUUACUUUUAAAAAAGGAUUAUUUGAAAUACUGUGAAUCUUUUUUAAUGUAAUUUUGUGAGAAAUUAGAUAUUUUGUAAUUCGUAUCAUGAAUUCUCUUAGAAUUGUAACUUGUACGUUUUUACGUUAGUCACUUUGCUAUUUUUAGUUUGAUAAGAAUAUAGCAUAUCUGCUUCUGCUGUUAAAUCUACUACGCAAUUGUUACCUGCAACAUAAAUUUUGUAACUUACAGCGCGCGAUUCAAUUUCAAAUUUUCAAAAAAUCCUGCGAUACAAUAACUUUUUGCUAAAAACUUCACAUGCUUAUUUAAAGGAAGAACAGAUUUGUUAAUAAUAUAGUUUGCAUUUACAAAUUUAAUGAAACAGCCUUAUGUAACACGUCGCCUUCAGCCAUAUCGCUUAAACAUACAAAAGUCAUUAACAUAAAAAUUCUACCGCCCACGAAACCAAUGUCAAAACAUCAAAAACCUUACAAUUCAAUGAAACCAACCAUACCACCUUCGAGAUAAAUACGCAUGCAGUAGUUGUGCGCUUCCUCCAGUCAAUGUAGUGUAAAUCUCAGAGACCAUAAAAUUCAUUGACGUACAUCUCCGUUCAUAUUUAUUGGGACACGUGCUAGUCUCGUAUAUAUCGUGAUAAUUGAUGGAAAUUACAAAGGAAAUUAGUGAAAAGAGUUUAAGGUUCCAAUUCUAAAACUCUAAGUUUCGGUUUCCAAGACUCUAGAGUUCCAAUUCUGAAAAGUUUGAUAGCAAAAGUAUUUCAAUUCUCGUUCGUUAAUAGCGUAAUUAGGUCACUUUUCGUGACACAAGCUUAAACAUAGAGCACACGUAUUUUCAUUUCGUCGCCAAAAUGAUUAUGUUUAAAGAUCAGUGACCCGCGUCUACGAAUCUUAGAAAAGUUAAACAUUUUGUGGCACGUGUCACAUUUCGCUAAUCAACUUUCCACUCAACGAAUAGUACAAUAUGCGAUACUUCCACCGAAACUAUCUCAAAAUUAAACUUCGGACAAUCCAACCGUAAACACAACACCCAAUAAAUCUCUUGUAAAUCGUGAAUCGUGCUGGCAAUAGAUAUAACGUGCGAACAAAUUGGUAUAGUUGGAAAGAACCGGAAGCAAGAGCGGAGAGAAUAAACGGCGGAGGCGUCGUUUUGGCGCGUUCGUGGUAAAACAAACAGUGCACACGACGCGACGUUCGAGGCGCGGAUGAAAAGUUUGGCGUGUGUUUCGUGCAUGCGCCUCCAACGCGAUGCACAUAUUACAGUAACCAGACACGGUGAGAAAGAGAGACAGUGGUUAGGAAAGAUCGUGCAAACAACCAGACGGCGAUAGAGCGUGCGAGCAAGAUCGUGGCCGCAUGAUCGGCCACGGGACAAUGUAAUCGAGACGAUAAACUAGAUAACUCGUAAUUAAAGUUUGCAGAUCGAUCCAUGGCCCCCGUGGAAUGAAUUAAUUACGAGUAAAUUGCGAGUUCGCGUUUAUGUAACUACGCCGCGCCGAUUUUGUCGUAAAAGUAAAAGGAAUCGGGUUCACCGGUUUAAUUUAUCGAUCUGCUAUCGGUUUGGUUGGUAGUUUCACAGUUGAAAGUAUUAAGUUUGCUGCUUUAUUUAAUCCUGUUAUGGUUUUUGAUUUUUUACGCUAUAACCUCGAUCUCAUUUCAACGAACGAAAAGAUACUUCAUGUUUGAAAAAUACUUUGGCAUAACGUUGAAGGGAAAAACUACCAAGAAAAUCAAUGACUUUUUCGUGCUUUUUCUUCAAUUUAAGAAAUUAGAUGCUUCAAAUGAUGUAACAGAUAUAACUCAGAAUAAUUUUUCCAGUGAUAUAGAAUGCUUCUAAAAGUAAUGAAUGUGGGAAAAAAUAUACGAUAUAUAAAGUCUCCAAUUUAAAUCUAAGAAUAUGUAAUCGCAGUUUUGAUUUGAAUAAUAAAUUGUUUACGUAGAAAUAUUUAUAUGAAAAACAAUGUAAUAAACUUCGUAAGCUACUUGCCUAUUGCCUAAAAGAAAUUAAUUUGGCAAUAAAACAAGACAUUCUAAAUUAUUUCACAUACAGAAACGAUUACUUGGCCUGAAAAAAGAAGCAUGACUUUAUUCAGGUUACUAAACGCAUGUCAGAAUUUGUACUAUGGUAAUUACGUACACAUGCAACUAUCAAAAAAUUGUAACCCGAUGAUUAGAUUUCUCCAACAUCACAUUUCUCUUGCUAACCAGACAACUUUUACUUAAACAACAUUCUAUAUUAUCAACAGUUUGCGAAAUAACCCUGUACAUCCGCAUGAAACCUUAUUUAACAGAUUGCAACUUCAGGCCAGUUCUCGUACAAUUUUCUUUGGAUUACACCGUUACCUAAUACUUGUAGCUUCAUUAUUAUGCACGAAACCGGCGGGCAAACUAGCGUAACCGAAGCGUUUCAAACGUUCAGUUUCGACAGCAGGAAAUUCUGAGAGUUAAUAUGGUUAAUCGUAAUCGCUGAAACCAAUCAAAUCUCAUACACGAUCGAUCAAGUAGAACGGGAAUUUUGUAAAUUCUGAUAAAUCACAAUUAAAGAGUAUGAGUUAAUUAUGGAAUGGAGGCAGCGAUAUGAGCUAUUUAACCGUGAAUCUGGGUCAUCGAAAUUCUUUUUAUGGAUAAACGUGCAUACAUGCGCUAUGAUCUGCCACGUGCACGCAUAUAAACGCAAUUAUGCAUGAGGUGUAUUGUCGACUUUACUUUUAAGUCAGUAGGACCGGAAACCAAAACGACCGAACGAUACUGGAAUAUUAAAUUAGUCGAAAAUUGACCGCUAUCUCAUUGCGAAAUUAAACCUGUUUCAUCUGGAACGUUUCCUAGCUGCAUCGUAUAUUAUAUUCUUCGAGAUAUUAAAUAUAAAGAUCUUAAGAAAACGUAAAAGAAGAGUUUUUUGGUAUUAUAAUUCGUAAGGCUUAAUUCCUUCGUAUUGAAAAAAAAAAAAAAAAAAAAAAAAAGAAGAAAACGAGAUAUAUGAAAAUAAAUUGUUCUUUGAAGAUAUUGUUAUUUGUUAGCGAUAAUCUUACAAGAUAUCGUAAUUGAUCAUGAUAGUUCAGUCCUGUCUUUACGUUCAUUGCUGUGUAAAAAAGAUACAACAUAUUCAUUUAGAAUUAUUGAACAUAAAAAGUCAAUUAAUUUAAGCCAAAUGAAAUUAAUGAAGCACACUGAUCAAUAAUCCUAUUCAAAUAAUAAAAUGUAGACAUAAAUCGAGAAAGAAGAAAUAGUUAGCCUAACUAAAAGCGCUUCCUGCUUUAAUUAAAAGUUCACGCGUGACCCACGGUGCACAAAGCUUCAUGUACGCGCGAAUUCGUGGAACAGCAAAUUCCGCGGCAGAAUGGCGAGCAUAGAACAAUAUUUCCUUUGUAAUAAUUAGACACGACAGGCUUCGGAGGAAGCGAAAGAUGCGUUCCUCUCGCGGCCAUGAUCGAGAGUGAGAAACGCGUGACAUGACGCGAACGGAAAAGAGACGGCGUAGAAGAGAAAUUGCGUACAAUAUGUAGUGAAACAAGUGCCGUUAGUCGUGUUGGUGUCAGAAACGGUUUCACGUUCCGUCUGAUUAUACAUUAGCCUGAUUUAAUAAUCCCAAUAUUAAAUUCUGAUAAUAAUUAGUCCCAAUGAACAUUGGUGUAAUGUCUCAUAGACAUUGUUUCGAGGUUUGGUUUACGAGCUACAAUCAAGUAUAUCGUAUAUUUUACUAACUUAAAGGAAGGUAAUUUUUAAAACUGAAUAUAUUUAUGCAGAUUUAUAUUUUUGCCGAUAUAAGUGAGAAAAUUAAACUUCAGUAGAAAUAUACUUUAACCGUUAAAUGUUAUUACAAGUACUAUCAUACUUUGAAUAUUUUAUAUAUUUUUGUAUCAUCAAGUUUCUCACAAAUGCAUUAGAAUUGGCAGUGUAAUGAUAAACUAUGAAGUUGUCUUAAUACUAAAAAAUACUAUGAGUUUACGUAUCAUAUAAUUGUGGAAAUAUAA